GAUGAACGCUAGCUACAGGCUUAACACAUGCAAGUCGAGGGGCAGCAUUAUCGAAGCUUGCUUUGAUAGAUGGCGACCGGCGCACGGGUGCGUAACACGUAUCCAAUCUACCCAUGGCUCAGGGAUAGCCUUUCGAAAGAAAGAUUAAUACCUGAUGGUCUGUGAUUGAGACAUCUCGAACACAGUAAAGAUUUAUCGGCGAUGGAUGAGGAUGCGUCUGAUUAGAUAGUAGGCGGGGUAACGGCCCACCAAAGCGACGAUCAGUAGCCGGCCUGAGAGGGCGGACGGCCACAUUGGGACUGAGACACGGCCCAAACUCC
rnacentral:rRNA from 1 species